UACGUAGGGUGCGAGCGUUGUCCGGAAUUAUUGGGCGUAAAGGGCUCGUAGGCGGUUUGUCGCGUCGGGAGUGAAAACCUUGGGCUUAACUCAGGGCUUGCUUUCGAUGACGGCAGACUAGGAGGUAUGCAGGGGAGAACGGAAUUCCUGGUGUAGGCGGUAGAAAUGCGCAGAUAUCAGGAGGAACACCGGUGGCGAAGGCGGGUCUCUGGGCCGAUACUGACGCUGAGGAGCGAAAGCAUGGGUAGCGAACAGG
rnacentral:rRNA from 1 species